rnacentral:tRNA from 1 species
UAACGUAUAGUAUAAUGGUAAUACAUAUUUCUACGGAAAAUAUUAUAGUAGUUCGAAUCUACUUACGUUAU